rnacentral:rRNA from 1 species
AAAAUUGGCGGUAUUUAAAUCUAAUUAGGGGAAUUUGUCUUUAAAAUGAUAAUCCUUCAAGGUACCUUACUUUAUUUAAAAAUUUAUUUAUUGCCGUUAACAGAUUAUUUUAUAAGAAAGAAAAUUUUCUUAAUUAUUAAAAUUAAUAAUUAUUUCAGGUCUUUAUGUAGUUUAUAAUAAAGUUAAGAUGAGUUACAAUAAAAUUUAUUUAAAUGGAUAUUAUAAUGAAAUUUAUAAUUGAAAGUGGACUUAAUAGUAAUUUUAAAUAUUAAAUUAUUU